rnacentral:rRNA from 1 species
GACGAACGCUGGCGGCGUGCUUAACACAUGCAAGUCGAACGGAAAGGCCCUUCGGGGUACUCGAGUGGCGAACGGGUGAGUAACACGUGGGUGAUCUGCUCUGCACUUUGGGAUAAGCCUGGGAAACUGGGUCUAAUACCGAAUAGGACCGCGCGCUUCAUGGUGUGUGGUGGAAAGCUUUUGCGGUGUGGGAUGGGCCCGCGGCCUAUCAGCUUGUUGGUGGGGUAAUGGCCUACCAAGGCGACGACGGGUAGCCGGCCUGAGAGGGUGACCGGGCACAAUGGGACUGAGAUACGGCCCAGACUGCUACGGGAGGCAGCAGUGGGGAAUAUUGCACAAUGGGCGCGAGCCUGAGGCAGAGACGCCGCGUGAGGGAUGACGGCCUUCGGGUUGUAAACCUCUUUCACCAGGGACGAAGCGCAAGUGACGGUACCUGGAGAAGAAGCACCGGCCAACUACGUG